rnacentral:rRNA from 1 species
GGAGGGGGCUAGCGUUGUUCGGAUUUACUGGGCGUAAAGGGCGCGUAGGCGGUAUGCCAUGUCAGGGGUGAAAGGCCUGGGCUCAACCCAGGAACUGCCUUUGAAACUGGCAAACUAGAGUCCGAUAGAGGAUGGCGGAAUUCCCAGUGUAGAGGUGAAAUUCGUAGAUAUUGGGAAGAACACCAGUGGCGAAGGCGGCCAUCUGGAUCGGCACUGACGCUGAGGCGCGAAAGCGUGGGGAGCAAACAGGAUUAGAUACCCUGGUAGUCCACGCCGUAAACGAUGUGUGCUAGACGUUGGGGGGCCUUAGGCCCUGAGUGUCGCAGCUAACGCAUUAAGCACACCGCCUGGGAGUACGGCCGCAAGGUUA